AGGGAGGGAGGGUCGGUGAGCGAGAUGAAAAAGUGAGGGCUGAGUGGAAGGAACAGUGAAACGAAGCAGUCAGUCCUGACUGGAGUUGAGUGGAGUGGAGGAGAACAAGCAGAGAGAGAAACUGAAAUAAGCAACCAGGAGACGUGAGUUUCCGUCUUUCAGCUGGCACAUCUUUAACCUCUUCAGCCUGAGCCGUGAGACAUCUGACAGACUCCACACCCAGAGAAAUACAGAUUUUACUGCGAUGACAGCUUCAGCAGAUACCGCAAAGUUAGUGACUUUGGAGAACAGUGUGAUGGAGGGCAGCAGUACCCCAAAGUUCAUGCCUCCUGGUCAGGGAAUGAUGUCGCCCAUGCCGGGGCCUCGGCUACCCGUUCACCUGGAGAAGAUGCACAGCCAGACAGACUCUUUCCUCACUGCAGCGCGGCUUCUCCGCGGAGGAUGGCUGGAAGGAGAAAAGAAAACAUGGCAAUUUUCUCAUGUUGACUUGUCAGUACAUAAAGCAAAUUCAGAAGAAAAUAAUCAUGCCAAGACUUACCUCCACGACGCCAGGAUCAGAUCAGUUCCCGUUAUGAACAGAGGGCAGAUGGCUGAUGACAAAGAGAUGGGCACAGAAAAAGAAACAGACAAGGCAAAGCAAAGGCGUGAAGGUGCAUUCUCAGCCAACAAACAAGCAGGAAGACAGACGGGUGCUGUGCGUGUCUGGACAUCUCACUGUCGCAUCAUCAGCAGAAAAUCCAGAUGUUUUAAAGCGCCGAUACUACCAGCAAUCACUGAGAUUUAGACUCCAGUUUUAAGUCUUGUGUGAUUUUGUGAUUAAAUGUACAGGUGUAUAGAAUGUAAUGAACCUAUAUUUUCUCUUUAAAUUGAAAACAUUUGCAAAUCUAACUGUUACCGUGAACUUGCAGUUCAGAAUAAUGAAGAGUGUGAACUUUAAGGUCUGUUAGCAGGUUAUGUUUUAUUUUAACAGACUAAAAAUUUAUUAGGAAUUUGAUAAUUCGCAGGCUAAAACGGUUACUCGGCUUUGAUGCAAAAACUCAUUUGUGCUAAAAUUCCCAGUAGAUACCUGUCUAUCUAUAUUUCUUUAGGUUAAAGUAAGUACUCAAUUUGACCUUUGCAAGCUGAUAAUUACUCAGAUUUAAACUGUUACUUCAUUGUUCUGAGAAAUGAAAAUGAAACCUAGGAGCAUGGUUCUGACAGUGAACACGAUUAACUAUUUAAAUGAAUAUUUUCAAAAGUAAAAUACUUGAUAAACACUUGUCCGUGAGCCAAAGGUGGCCCACCAGAGGGUCUAAUCUGACCUGCAGGAUGAAUCUGCAAAGUGUAAAACUGAUAUUGAAAACUACAAAUAACUGCAACCUUCUGCAAGUUUUAGUGAGAGCUAAAUAGAAAUUACAUUUGUUUUAUUGAAUGAAUGUCCAGUUGUUCAUUACAUGUUUUGUAAGCGUCCUUCUUUGCAGUAAAACGAAGAUAAACACUG